UCCUUUGUUGCACAAGUUGUUGAAAUAAAACCAAUUCCAUAAUAUACCUAAUCGUUAGCAAAUACAGUAAUAACUGAAUGUACUGUUAAAACAAUGGCAAUUUACUAAUGUGUACAGCCAGCGCGGCACCAUACCGCACAAGUGCACUCUUGACUAGGUUGAUCACAACGCGCGACAGGCAAGAACCAGCUAGCUUGUCAGUAGUGCAAGGCCUGGAAAAUGGCUGCAGGAUCUGGCGCGUCAAGCGGUCACGGUCCGCCUGCGGCCCUUGAGUCAACUUUGGACCGACGGUUUCAAGGAGUGUCGAACACAAUGGAAUCAAUUCAAGGACUAUCAAAUUGGUGUAUCGAGAACAAGAAAUACCACAGUCUUAUCGUGCGUUACUGGAUGAAAUGGUUGAGGAAAUCUGAGGCUUCUCACCGUCUCAAUUUGUUCUACCUCGCCAACGAUGUCAUUCAGAACUGUAAGAGGAAAAAUGCCAUUGUCUACCGUACUGCCUUCGCCGACGUGCUCUCUGAGGCCUUCCAGCUGGUCAAUAAUGUGGGAGACUCUAAGGUGAUGAAGUCAGUGGACAGGAUAUUAUCCAUCUGGGAGGAGAGGUGUGUGUACAAAGAGGAGCUCAUAGCUGAGCUGAGGGCCAGUCUGGUCAAAGAGGAGUCACCUAUUGCUUUAGAAACACCUAAUGCUCCAGUCAACCCUAAAGCUGCUCUUCAAUCUAAGAUUGUAGCUGAAUUUGUUCCCCAGGUAUUCAUCGAUCAUCUCUCUAAGUACCACAGCUCUGUGGAGGAAGUGGCGCUAAAGGAGAAACAGCUGGCAGCCAUGAGGGUGGACGUCUGCAGCACCAAGGACCUCAAGAGACUGAAAGAUAAGGCAGGGGGAAAGAGGCACUCCAAGGACUUUGAGGAUGGCAGUGCGAAGCUAAAGGAGUUUGUGGCCUUCCUUGACCGGCAGAUCAAAGGAGGGUCCCCUCUGUUGAAUGCUCUUGGCAACGCAGACAUUUUCUACGAGAUGCAGUAUAAGGAGGUCAAGAUAGUCGCCAAUGCCUACAAGACGUUUGCCAACCGGGUGUCCCACCUCAAGCGUAAGCUGGACAGCCUCAAGUCCACCUUACCAGACCUGGAUGAGUCGCCCCUCCCCUCGCCCUCGAUGGACGCCCCGUCCCCCAAUGGCUCAGAGUCCCCCUUCCGUGGCCUGGCCGACCCAGAAUCUGACUUGGAUGGCCUGGCCAUGGAUGAUGAGGCGGAAAUCACUCUGGGGGAAGCACCCAGCCCCCUGUCCUCCCCCGGUGGCUCCCCAAAGCAGGGCUUCACUGUCGGGGAGUCAGACAACCGCGAUGUGGAGGACAUGGAGCUCUCGGAUGAGGAGGAGGCAGAGAGCGUCGGUAUCAUAGUUGAAGAGCGAGUUGAAAUUCCCAUCCCAUCUCCAGACCCCAUUCCUGUGCCUGUUGUCACACAGCUGCCGCUGGCCACAGAGGCAAAGCCUGUCCCACAGGCCACACCUUUCCCAGCUCUCAUGAUCCCAGUGACCCCUAUAACCAACCUAUCAGGCAACCUCGCCAAUGUAGACCUGGGUAAAAUUAGCUCUAUCCUCAGCAGCAUCACCUCUGUCAUGAAGAAACCAGGAGUGAGUCCAGGUGCUUCUUUGGUCUGCCCCUCCUCUCCAGCCAAGACCUCCCCUCCUGCCCCAGUAGCCCCCCAGGUAGCCAGCCCUCUUGCCAGCGUCUUGUCCAAAGUGGACAUGACUCCCGAGGUGCUCCUCAGUGCACUGUCCAAAACCCAGGAGCAGGCCAGCGGGCGACAUGGCCUCUCCACUCUUCUGAACAGCCCAACGGGAAACCUCUCCUCAUAUUCCUCCAGUACAGGCAAGCUCCCUCCCUCCGCCUCCACCCCUACAGUACCCUCUCGAGGCCUUCCUCUCACCUCCUCUACGCUCGAACCAACCCCAUCAGCCCCUACAGUGGGGAAUACCACCACCGUCCUUCAGGCAGCGUCCCUUACCCAGCCCACACAGCCUCUAGACAUCGGCCCUCACAGAGGGCUGGUCCUUGAACAAGAGAAGGAAGAAAAGCCCUCUGCUUCCAGCCUGGAGUCCAAGAUCCACAGCUUCCUGCAGGGUAACCCUGGCUUUAAUGCCUUUAACCUGGGCUUGACUAGCGAGACCAUGCAAGCGGGAGGCAGCGACAUCAGCCCCUUAGCGGGUACAGCGACCCUAGAGGGCACCCCGGUGCGGGACGAGGCCGGAGGAGGCACCCCCACCCUGGAUGAGUUCUUGGACACACCAGGAGGAGCAGAGCCCUUCCUGGCCAAGCAAGGUCAGGUCUCUUCUGGGGGAGUUCCUAAACAUCCAGAUGGCAGCCUGUCUCAGUCUCCAACUCCCUACCACAACCAAGCCUGGCAGGAUCCCAACAACCCUCAUGUCCACUUAGGACCACAACCAGGUGCUCCGAAUGGGCAGGGGUACCACCAGUUGCCUUAUGGAGGGAAUGAAGAGAUGCAUGGAAUAGGUCCUUCCCUCAGAGAGUCUGGGUUGGCCCAUUACCAGCCCAUCACGACACAGGUGUCAGCCCCAACCCUCAGGGAGGGGUUACCCAGUAACACACAAGGAGGGCCUCCGGCAGGGCCAAGCCCCAGUGUGAGUGAAGGAGGAUGGUAUGGUAAUCCUUACCCAGAGGGACGGGCCCUGCAUCCUAACAACCACAACAUGGCUGCAUCAGGGGCAGGAGAUGGCAAAACCCCCAUGCCAGGACGGUAUGCAUACCAGGGGGAGGGGCAGACGCAGCCCUACCAAACAAAGGAUCCUCAAACUCUGCUUUCCCAACAGGGGGCCAACCCCUCAAGCUUCCUCACCAGCCCUCUGCCCCCCAUUCCCCAGCUGCCUCCACCGCCCUUCCCUGGAAUACCAGCCCCACCUCAGGACUACCAGAGCUCGCCCGCGUCUGUCAUUGUGCGAGGGGUGAUGGUGCCUGUGGAGCAACCCUCACCAAACCCUGAGAUGGAGGAUGACAGGGCGGGCGUCAGUGCAUUGGGCGGUCCAGUGAUUAUCAGUGAUCACCAGCACAAAUCUGCUUUCCACCCUGAGGGCCAACCCUAUCACCCAGAUGACCUUCAUCGCCAUGCCGAUGACCCCCGUCAUCACCCUGACAAUUUCCCUUGUCACACUGACGACCUCCGCCGCCACCCCAACGAUCGACGCCGUCAGCCUGACGACCUGCAUCACCUUGACAACUUCCGUCAGCACCCCCACGACCUCCAUUGUCACCCAGACGAUCACUAUUAUCACCCAGACGAUUUCCACCAUCUACCUGUAGACGAUCCUCAUUAUCCUUAUAGAGUCAGAGAGCGCCUCACUCCCCCCCUCUCUCCCUCAGAAGACCCUUACUACUAUAACUACCCUCCACGCAGCUCUUCCCCUCCAUAUGGUCACAGACCCCCCCUUCACCCUCACAUGGACCUGCACCACCCUGACCACAUGCCCCUGCCUCCCGAUCCUCCACACCGUCCUCUUCACCCAGUUCACCAGCCACACCUGAGAGGCCUCCCGUGGGGUCCCCCACGCCCAACCCUCUGUGGGCCCAUGCUCAGGGGGAAACGGCCAGGGCCUCCUUUCGGGAGACACCCCAGAGGGGGACCAGGUGGUCCGUUCUUUCCUCCCAAAAGACCACACCUACCUCCGCGCUUCUGACUUGUCAACUGACUGGGGUGACAUCAAAUUACAGUGCUUAGGCUACCGGAAUGUCAUUGUGGCAGGGGGCGUGACACAUCGAGGCUAGAGGAGGAGAGAUGAGUUGGGAAGAAGCAGAAUAAUUGAGGUGUACUUUUCUCUGCUCCCCUUUUUGGUUUAAGAGGCCUGAGAGGAAGAGGGGAAUAGAUGAGUACAAUUGGAGGAGGAGUAAAUUGGGAGGAUCUAAAGGAAUCGAGGAGAGGAUGAGUGAAGACGUGGAUCUGGAGAAAGAGGGAAUGGAGAGGUCGGCCUGAACAACGGAGACACAGCGGAAUAGAAGAAAAUAAGAGUAAGAUGGAUGACUCUGUGAUAUGGUGACCUGUGCGAGGAGUGGGAAACCGCUGAGGUAAGGGCUGUGAGAUGAGGACGACAGCCAGAGGGGAGCAGAGUGGUUGAGAGACAGCUGAAGGACAUGCCACUGCCACUUAGUCAGGGAAAGUAAGUGCAGCCAGAAUGAGUGAGCAUGGUGCCCCAAACACAAGGCCAGACAGGCUAAUCUCUCUGUUACUCACACACACACACACACACACACACACACACACACACACACACACACACACACACACACACACACACACACACACACACACACACACACACACACACACACACACACACACACACACACACACACACACACACACACAGUAUUCUACUUUGGAAGAUUCUGUACAUUUAAACCAUGUAUUUUACUUCCCAGAUUUGAUUAAAAUAAAAGCAAUAAUAACAUGUUUACUUCUCUUUAAACAACAAUAACAUAUUUAUAUUAUCAUAGCAAACUGUUUUUAUUGCUCAAUUACUUGUAUCUUUUGCAUAAACUAUAGGCUGACGUCAUGGCCAUUGUUGAUGCAUUAUGAGGCACAGUGAGUGACAGCCUAGAUACUCCCAGCUAUGUUGAUAGGAUCAUCAUAUUAAUAUUUGUGGGAUAGAUCACACUUUAGAAUGUUUAUAGAAAAUGCUCUAUCUUGAAAAUAUCACUGCUGACAUGCAUCUUUUUUUUAAAUAUUUCUAAAACACCAGACAAAUCAGCAAUUAGUAAAAUAUCCCUUUUAAUGUGAUUUUAAUGUAAUGAUAACUACAAUCUGUAGUUCUCUCAGGCUUCUAUUUUGUCAACAGUGAAAUUACUACAAUAUGACAAAGGAGAUGAUAAUUAUGUACAUAACAAACCCUGGCAUUGUAGUGGUUUUCUGGAAAUGGUCAACUGAUGUCCUUGGUCAGCUACCCCAAAUAUUUGUAUUUUGUCUCUUCUUUUUUUUCAUUGAAAUGCACCAUCUGAAAUAAUCUCCUGCCAAUUAAAAAAAAAACAUCUAAAUGUCAGUCUUUGUAUUUUAUCAUUAAGUUGAGUAAGAUGAAGUCAAAAAGGUAGUUUAAAGUUCUUGGUCCUUUAUCCAUGCAUGUGCACAGGGAUGGAAGAUAGGAUUUAAGGACAGAUGACAGAUGGUAAUCUC